UACGUAGGGGCCUAGCGUUGUCCGGAAUUAUUGGGCGUAAAGAGCUCGUAGGUGGUUCGGCAAGUCGGAUGUGAAAUCUCCACGCUUAACGUGGAGGGGCCAUUCGAAACUGCUGUGACUUGAGUCCGGUAGGGGAGUGUGGAAUUCCCGGUGUAGCGGUGAAAUGCGUAGAGAUCCGGAGGAACACCGACGGCGUAGGCAGCGCCCUGGACGACACCUGACGCUGAGGCACGAAAGCUGGGGGAGCGAACAGG
rnacentral:rRNA from 1 species